GACGUAGGGCGCGAGCGUUGUCCGGAUUUAUUGGGCGUAAAGAGCUCGUAGGCGGCUUGUCGCGUCGACUGUGAAAACCCACGGCUUAACUGUGGGCUUGCAGUCGAUACGGGCAGGCUAGAGUUCGGUAGGGGAGACUGGAAUUCCUGGUGUAGCGGUGAAAUGCGCAGAUAUCAGGAGGAACACCGGUGGCGAAGGCGGGACUCUGGGCCGAUACUGACGCUGAGGAGCGAAAGCGUGGGUAGCAAACAGG
rnacentral:rRNA from 1 species